AAAACAACAUGAUAAUUAGCGACAUUAUGAUUUUUAAAAAAAAAUGAAAGCUCCUCCAACCAUAUUCUCAAAAGCUACUGAAUGUUCUAAGAAAUCAUGUAAUGAAAGUACCUACCGUGCGCCGUUGAUGAAUAGGUUAUCGUGGAAGAAGAGGUAAUGUAGGAUAUGAUGUCCCCUAACAAGAGAAAUAUAUUACUCUGUAUUAAAAAUAUAAUAUGAACAUGUAGAAAAAAGAAUCCGAACAGAUACCUCAAAAUUUUCCAUUAACUAAGUAUUAACACAACUAAAAAACUAAUUAAACAGAUUAUAUUAACCCAUGAACACAACAUACAAUUCUUUCGCACAGAUCACACUAAUACAAAUACUCGAACAAUUAAUUAAUAAAUUACAAACAUAUAAGAAAAUAUGUCAAAUAUAGUUACUUAUUUUACCUUCUUCAUUCGCAGGAGCAGACAUGUCCACUCUUGGGCGUUUAUUUUUUUAUUUUUCUGAGGAUCCCUCAUUUGAAUUGAGAAUAUUACAUUCAGUUUCCAUUCAAUAAGUCUUCUAAGAAAAAAACUCAAACACAUCAAAUCUAAUAAAAUCAUAGUAUUUUAUGCCCAAGGUGGACCAAAUCUGUCAAGAAUAGUUCAAAAUUUAGCAUAAAAAAGUUCCAUCAUCCAGUCAAUACAAAUGCAUAUAUUAAACAAUAUAACCACAAUCAUAAACCCUAUUUGAAAAAUGAGAUAGAAAAUCCAAAAAAAAAUUCUAAACACAAUACCUUGAUUAUUUAGAUCCACCAAGCGUGAUUCAAAUCGGCGAACACAGUAUGCAAAAACAAGCGAAACAGAAAAUCAUAUUAAAAAAGCUGAAAUCCCAAUAUCUGAAAUCUCAUUUUUCCCAAUAAUUUCUUCAUCGUCAACAACAAUCAGUUGUUCGAAACACAAAAUCAAAGUAUUCAAAGCAAAAAUCUAAAUACCUUUUGUUCAAUUGGUUGUUCAAUUACAUGAAGAGGCCAAAAAAAUAGAAAAACAUCGACAUACCCGUUCGAUUUCAGCAGAUCUUCAAACCUUGCCCCUUUUCGAACAAGUCACCGGUGAUUCUUCAAAAACAGAAACAAAAUAACAAAAAAAAUUUAUUGAACAACCGGAGUUUGAAUCGAUUUGUUUGUUGAAAAAUCGAAACUUCAAACGAAACCCUACCUGUCGUCGAAAAGGCAGAAACCCUACCGAUCGUGGUUCUGUUCAGAAA
rnacentral:lncRNA from 1 species